UACGUAGGGUGCGAGCGUUGUCCGGAAUUACUGGGCGUAAAGAGCUUGUAGGUGGUUUGUCGCGUUGUUCGUGAAAUCUCACGGCUCAACUGUGAGCGUGCGGGCGAUACGGGCAGACUAGAGUACUGCAGGGGAGACUGGAAUUCCUGGUGUAGCGGUGGAAUGCGCAGAUAUCAGGAGGAACACCGGUGGCGAAAGCGACUCACUGGGUCUCUUCUGACGCUGAGGCACGAAAGCUAGGGUAGCGAACGGG
rnacentral:rRNA from 1 species